rnacentral:rRNA from 1 species
GUGGGGAAUUUUGGACAAUGGGCGAAAGCCUGAUCCAGCCAUGCCGCGUGCAGGAUGAAGGCCUUCGGGUUGUAAACUGCUUUUGUACGGAACGAAAAGACUCCUUCUAAUAAAGGGGGUCCAUGACGGUACCGUAAGAAUAAGCACCGACUAACUACGUGCCAGCAGCCGCGGUAAUACGUAGGGUGCAAGCGUUAAUCGGAAUUACUGGGCGUAAAGCGUGCGCAGGCGGUUAUAUAAGACAGAUGUGAAAUCCCCGGGCUCAACCUGGGAACUGCAUUUGUGACUGUAUAGCUAGAGUACGGUAGAGGGGGAUGGAAUUCCGCGUGUAGCAGUGAAAUGCGUAGAUAUGCGGAGGAACACCGAUGGCGAAGGCAAUCCCCUGGACCUGUACUGACGCUCAUGCACGAAAGCGUGGGGAGCAAACAGGAUUAGAAACCCGAGUAGUCC